rnacentral:rRNA from 1 species
UACGGAGGGGGCAAGCGUUGUUCGGAUUUACUGGGUGUAAAGGGCGUGUAGGUGGCUUAUUAAGUUGGAUGUGAAAUCCCUCGGCUUACCCGAGGAACUGCAUUCAAUACUGAUAGGCUAGAGUGUAAAAGGGGAAAGUGGAAUUCCUGGUGUAGCGGUGAAAUGCGUAGAUAUCAGGAGGAACACCGGUGGCGAAGGCGACUUUCUGGUUUAACACUGACACUAAGGCGCGAAAGCUAGGGGAGCGAACGGG